GACAGAAAAAGAAUACUAAUGAACUGAAAACAUUUCUGAAAACCCAUUUGCGGACAGCUUUGAUAGUAAAACCAUUGUGUAUUUGAAUGCUUGUUGUUUCUUUUUGGUGUGCAUAUACAGGUUUGCCUGUGUGUUGCAUCAUGUAUGUCUGUGUGCAUGCAUGUCUGUUUGUGUGUACAUGUGCAGCAUGUGUGUGUUUAUACAUCUUUACAGCGAGUGGAUUAUGUCCCUGCUUGUGCUCGGACGAACUGAGUAUCCUUUAUCACUUGCACGUCUGUAACGACAUUGCAUUGUGUUUGUGUUUUAUUGUGUUCAGUACAUAAAGAACAUAAAAGAGCCAUUUGCUUAGCAAUGUCUUUUCAAGACGCUGUCCUGCAAAUGUUUCCACCUUGUGAGCGAUAUAUCUCACGGUCAGACGGGAACGAGCGCUGUUUUCCAUAUACACCGGAAGCCGAUCACCUCUCCUCCCGCGGCAGCUGCAGAGGGACACGAAGGAGGCUCGUGAUGAUGGGGUAGAGCAUGGAGAUUUGAGGGGGAUUUGUUGCCUUGCGUGCCUCAGCCAGGGCUGGGAGCAUGCUGACACAGCUCACUGAGAUUGAUUGUGAGCGGAUGAAAACUUGAAACACUUCACUUUCGUUUUCAAUUUGAAUAAACAACUACACUCCGUUGCGUCCAUAGUAACUCCACUCACUCAUCUGCCAUCGCCUUGAUACUGUACUCUAUGCCAUGGUGGUUUGUUAUAGCGCAUGCUCAUUAGCUGACACAGCAACCCAUAUAAAAGUACCAACAUAGGAACGUAAUACAUUUUAAAAUGCAUUUUACUUAAUAUUAUUGUCUUAGCAAUAAAUGUGGAAUUGAAGUAACGUAAUUUUAUUCAUGUCUGUAACUGUAAUAAGAUUACUUAUUUUUAAAGUAACGUGUUACAUGACUGCGUUACCACAAAAUAACACUGAUUAUUUAUACUGUAUUAAAUGCUAAUACUGUGUUAAACUUCUUCUAAUUUUAACUGCAUUAUAAUCUCUACAAAUAAAGGUUCCUUUUUUCCACAGAAUAAUGUUUUUCCCCACAUGACCAGACUCAACUCAUCUUCAGAGAUUAUAUAAGUGUCCUGCAAGACUUAUAAUGAGGCUAUGAUGAAGAAGGAUUCCUACUUUCAUCAUGGAAAGGCAGAGCUGAGAGACUUAAGAUUGUGGCAAUGAGAGAGAAGAUUGCUGAAGACCAGGCCAACAGAGACAAACAAAGGUGUGUUAUGUGUAGUAUUGUGGGGACAUGAUGUCUGAUGAAGAUGAUGAUGUUGUCUCUGGGAGGCCAGUGUGGCUUGUAAAACCAGCAGCUUUGAGAAGCUCUGUUCCAGAAGCUACAAAAGAGACUUGAUGCAGGUCCACACUAUACUGAGAAUAAUCACUUUUGUGUGAUGGCAAGUGACAAAGAGUAUG